GAAUGAAUGAUAAAAAUUUAUCUUGCUUGAGGAAAUGUGAUGACAUAAAAAUCAUUCUCAUUAGGAUUAUGCUAAGGUGC